rnacentral:lncRNA from 1 species
ACCCCAAUGAUGAUUGUGGCCAAGUUUGGUUAAAUUUGGCCCAGUUGUUUCAGAGGAGAAGAUUUUUGUAAAAGUUAACGACGACGGACGACGCCGGACGACGCCGGAAGCCUGACGCCAAGUGAUGAGAAAAGCUCACUUGGCCCUUCGGGCCAGGUGAGCUAAAAAUACUGGUUUUGGGCCCCUUUUUGGCCCUUAAUUCCUAAAUUUGUUGCCCCAUAACCCAUAAAAAGAAUCCCAACCUUCUACUUGUUGUAUUUAGCAUUGUGGUACAAUUUCAGAGCAAUAGAAAUAUCUAUACACAAAUUAUUAUCCUGAAACUAGAAAAAUGCUAGUUUUGGGCCCCUUUUGGGCCGCUAAUUUCUAUACGGUUGGGGCAAUCAUCCCCAAAAUUAAUCCCAGGCUUCAUUUAGUGGUAUUAAACCUUCUAGAAAAAAAUGCAUAAAGAUCUUUUAACUCAAACUAAAGUUAUUGUCCGGAAACCAAUGUGUCUUCCAACGACGACGCAGACGACAACACCAUACCAUUAUAUAUAUCAAAUUUUUUAAAGGCAUUCAAAUGGAUAAAACCAGAGGAUUUCGAAAAUCUGACAAAAAUUCCAAAACAUGACAAGCAAACAUCCGUAAUGCCUAUUUAUUAACAACUGAACAACUUAAAAUAGUUAUAUAAAUAUGCAGGUGCUACAUUAUUCAAACACUUAAAAACCAUUGCUAUGCAGUAUGAAUUUUGGUCUUUGGUAUAAGUAUAAUAUAUUCAUAUGGUUAUAUGUCAAAAUAGUUGUUUAAAAUGUCAUUUGUAGAAGAGAUCAUUAAAGGAAAAUAAGAUCAUACAUUUAAAAUAAGAUUUCAAAAUAGCACAUAUAUGAGGUGUUUAAUGAAAUUCAUUCUUAUAAUCACAGAUAGGCAUGUAUAUAUAUAGAUUACCAUAAAAUUCAUUCUUAUAAUCACAGAUAGGCAUGUAUAUAUAUAGAUUUACCAUAAAGUUUUAAUAAUAAAAUUAAUAUAACAGCAUAAAUAAAUAAAGUGGGUAUAAUUCUUGAAAACUUAAACAGUUUCAAUGAAAAACAUGAAGAUGCCCUGAAAAAUUAACAUAUUAAUAAUAAAAAACAACCUUCUGCAAACAACCCUGUUUUUUAAAAACCUGACAUCAUUAAGAAUCAAAGUAUUUAAAAUUUAAAAGUGAAAAUGCAAAUAAACAAAUAUCAGGUCAAAAGUGUUAAAACCUUUUUUGCUGAAAUCAAGUUUCAAGUUUCAAUGAUCAAUUUGGUUUUAAAACUAAUGCAUCAUUUUUGAAAAUAUUAACAUUUGUUAAUUGAUUACUGAGAAAUUAGUAUUUAAAAAAAGUCAUCUUCAAAUAAAUGUUUAUUUUUUAAUAGCGGAAAACCCAUUUUGGAUAUCAGGACAAAAGUAGUUAUUUCCUUUCAAAACUUAUACCUUUAAAUUAGGCUUCAUGUACAUGUGCAAUACCCAUGAUUGUAAUUGUAAACUUUCCAGUGGCAGCUAGACCCAGCCAUUUUUAAAAGGUGGGUUUCAAACCCAGGAUGAAUGUGUGUGUGUGUGUUCAAACCAUAUGUCCCAAUUCAAAAUCCAAUACCUUGAAACCCCUCCCCUUCCUGGAUCUGCCACUGCUUUCUGUCAAAGAAUAAUGUUUUUGCUGACAUUAUACUACGUCAUUAGGCCUUCAUUGGGGAUAACAUUUGUCAGUAAUUGAAUGCAGGGGAAAAACUAUCACAAUAGACCACUUUUGAGUUCAUCCGUCACCGGCAAAAACUCGUCAAUUAUGCGCGCCUUUAUGACGUCAUUUACCAGAUAGAGGGGAUCGCCUGUAUCCCUGCACUAUUUACGUUCAUCAAGCGUCUUAGUGAUCGUCGUUGUGCAGGAUAAACUAGAAAUAAUGGUUGUUCUGUAGGUACUUAAUGACAAUUCCCUAAUGACAGCAGUGCUGAUUGUCAAUUUUGAGAAUUUAAUUUGCUGAAUAAUUCGUACAAUAUAGAAUUAUAGUUUUCCAACCACUCGCUCAACAUUGAAACGGAAGUGACGACGCCCCUAAACGCACAAAUGACGUUCACUAAAACCAGAGUUUUUGACGGAAAUGCAUCGAACUCGAAAGUUGUCUAUUGGAACAAUUUCCAUUUAGCGCUUUACAUAAAUAUUUUAUAUGAACAAUGUUUACUGUUAAUUAACACAAAAAUGGAGAUUAACUAAUGCUUGUUUUACUAUUUCAUAAAAUGUGCAUUUGAUAUUUCCCUCCACAAUGGUUGAUAAAAUGUAAUGGAAAUUUAUCACAAAGUACUUUAGAGCUGACAAAAAAAGCAAAAAAAGUAUUUUUUGCAAUAAAAUCAUAUACUAAAUCAUUGAAUAAUCUACCUAUAAAAGUAGCAAAUAAUCUUUUUGAUUCUUUAGUAUAACCAAUUAUGACCUAUAAUUCAGAAGUAACAUAUUUGGAUACAUAUAUUUCUUUUCAUCGAGCCAAAAGCAGAGCCUUAACUUCAGGAAAAGAAAUUAAUCAACUUGAUUUUAUAGACAAAACCCCCAUAGAAAAUAUGCAUCUUAAAUUUUGUAAAUCUACUCUAGGGAUAAGAAAAAAUGCAUCCAAUUUAGGAGCAAGAGUUGAAUUAGGAAGAUUGCCUAUAGAAUGCUUUAUUAAAACACAAACCCUUUUAUAUUUAGCUAGACUAUAUAAUAAUAAUAUUAAUCCAUUGUUAAAGGAAGCUUUUUCUCUAGCACAGUCUCUAGAUUUGACAGGAACUUACUCAUGGUAUACAUAUGCUAAAAAUAUUGUUAAAGAGACUAACGUUGACCUUAAUAUUCUUUCUACUUGUAAGGACAUAAAAGAUGUAAAUAAAAUAAAAAACGAUAUAAAGUUAAAAAUGAAAAAUAGAUAUGAAGAUUUAAUUCAAAAUAAAUUUCAAAACAUCGAUGAUAAAAGUAAAUUUUUUCUCUAUAAAAAACUUUAAAAAGAUUACAAACUAGAAUAUUAUCUAAAUACAUCUAAUUUUCAGAUAAGGAGAUUAAUCACUAAAUUUAGAAUAAGUGAUCACUCCCUCUUGAUUGAAAAGGGGAGAUAUUUUAAAAUCCCAAGAGAGGAACGUCUUUGCCAUAAAUGUAAAAUACUAGAGGAUGAGAAACAUUUUUUACUAUAUUGUGAGUAUAAUAAAACUCUAAGAAAUGACUUUUUUCAUCACAUAUGUACAGAAAACAAUAACUUUAAUAAUUUAAAUGAAGAAGAAAAAAUUCAUUAUUUACUAAAUCCAUCAUCACCUUUACAAACAAAUAAGAUAGGACUUCUUGAAAAAGACAUUAGAACUGAGGGCAGGGGACUCUUAACAACUUGUUUGUUGUUAUAAAUUUUAAUGCUGUUGAUAUUUUGUAUGUUUAAUAUGUAUGUAUUUAUGUUUAUUGUGUUUAUUGUAUUAAUAUAUGUUGGUCACAAACUGUAAAGUUUAUAUGACAAUAAAAUAUUUGAUUGAUUGAUUGAUAAAAGCUUUAGAUAUUUAACAUAUAUAAAUGACAAAUGAGAUACAGACUUUUGAAUUUAAACAUGAACAUUUUGAAUAAAAUAUAUGGUUAAUUUCAAUGUCAAUGAAAUGAUAGCCAAAAAAAUAAAAAAUACAAGGUACAACAAAAAAACAUUUGCCAGUUGGCAGAUAUCAUCCAACAUAUCUUAUAUUUAAACACCAAUAAAAUUAACAAAUCUAAAUGAAAUACUGUAAACCAACUAAUUUUCAUGAGCAAUUAAUUUUUAGCAAGUAGAGAAAUAUUCCUGUACGAAAUUAUAAGGCGUAUUACGCCUGGAAAUAAGGCGUAUUACGCCUGGAAAUAAGGCGUAUUACGCCUGGAAAUAAGGCGUAAACCAGGCGUAAGUGGUAGUUACGUGUCUAGAUCCAGGCGUAAGGGAGCAGGAAACGUAAACUUGUAGUCCUUACGGGCGUAGAAAAAAGUGGUAAACCUGGCCUAAAUUGAAAUAAGCAAGGCGUAAAUUUUCUUACGGGCGUAAAUCUGUUGGUAUGGCUUAAAUAAUAAUACCCAUUAUGCUUUGUUUAAAGGAUCAUGGGAUUUUUUUUUUCAAAAUUUGGCUCUUUGGUUUUAGUUUGCAAGAGUGAAUGGAUAUAUAUUCAAGGAUAAUUAGCUUGUUUUGUGCUUUUUGUAAGAAUUUGAAAUUAGAAUUAUGGAAUCAAAUUGAUUAAUGAAAAUUGUGAAAUAAAAGGAAAGUAAGUAUGCAUGGUAAAUAAUAAUUAAGUUAUUAAGUUUUAUGUUUCAUCAGAAAUUUUGAAAUCCCAAAACCUUUAUUUUUGGAUA